rfam:TPA: Bos taurus chromosome 10, whole genome shotgun sequence.
UCCCUGGCAAUCCAAUGGUUAGGAUUCUGCACUUUGACUGCACAGGGCCUGGGUUUGAUCCCUGGUCAGGGAA